AGGGAAAGAACACAAACCCAGGCCUCAGAAAGUCUCUGCCAGAAUGCUGAGCUCAAUAUGGGAGCCGCAGAGCCAGGGCAAGCUGGUGUGCCAGGUGCCAGGGGGCAACAAGACUCACCGGGCGGGUGUCUUCCACAUUCUGAAGUCACCUGCCAGUCAUGCCACCUUGAGGACACCUUCCCGAGGCCCAAGUCCCCAUCCUUCUGCUGAAAAUGAAGAGGUCCAGAAGAGUGACCGUUUCUGUAACGGAUCAGAUCUUUUCCCAGGCAGUGAGUGAAAAUGAAAGCACCAUGUGCUGGGGCAUGGGUGGGAGGAGGUGACAGAGUGCGAGUGACAGGAGGUCACAGCAGUUCAGAGUGUGUCUUCGUGCCUCUGGGCGGGGGCCAGGCCCACCAGAAGCAGGUGAGCAUGCACGGCCUUUGGAGGAACCCUGUGUGGAACC
rnacentral:lncRNA from 1 species